rnacentral:rRNA from 1 species
GACGAACGCUGGCGGCGGGCCUAAUACAUGCAAGUAGAACGAAGUUGCGAACGGGUGAGUAAAGCGUAGGUAACUGCCUCAUAGAGGGGGAUAACUAUUGGAAACGAUAGCUAAUACCGCAUCCUGUGAGCUGGAACUGCGUUGUAUUAGCUAGUUGGUGAGGUAAAGGCUCACCAAGGCGACGAUACAUAGCCGACCUGAGCGGGUGGUCGGCCACACGGCGACUGGGACACGGCCCAGACUCCUACGGGAGGCAGCAGUAGGGAAUCUUCGGCAAUGGACGGAAGUCUGACCAAGCAACGCCGCGUGAGUGAAGAAGGUUUUCGGAUCGUAAAGCUCUGUUGUUAGAGAAGCGGUACCUAACCAGAAAGGGACGGCUAACUACGUGCCAGCAGCCGCGGUAAUAC